ACUGUCAGAGACGGAAGCUUCCGCGGAGCACCAAACCACAGGUGUGACUGGAGAGAGAUUUCAGCCACUCUGAUCAACACAGAGAGGGAGCUGUCUCUACUGACGUCAGAACCGGACGACCUAAAAGAAACUUUCACAAAAGUUUCAAGAACGCUACCCUCAAACAAGCAAGGCUGAAGAUAUCAAGUCUUUGAAGUGGACUGAGUAUCAUGUCUUGAGAUUGGCCUCAGUUUGUUUUUAGAAUAUCAACCCUAAUGGUUGACACGGCCAGGGUUUAAUGCUCCCAAUGCUGUUAAUUCAAGAACACAUUUCUGUCUUCGUAGAAGAUUAAAGUACUUGGUGGGAUUCAUUUUUGGUAAAGGAACUGAGGUAUAGAAUGGGGCUACAGGAUCUUACCCGAGGCUAAACCCUGAUAUAGCAACCCACUUCUUAUCUUUUUAGAUCAGUCAAAAAUAUAUAUAUAUAUUCCAGCCCAUUCCUCCCAGCUUUGAGAGGGAAAUGGACAAGAUGAUGUGGACUCAGCUGAGAAUGUGGAGUCUCAGUUCCAAUCUGGAUAUGGCUUUGAGAUCAGACAUUCCGGGAAUCAACGCGAGGGCUCUACUGGGAUAGAGCGCACCCUGGUAUUCACACAGCCAGCAGCAUUUUCUCUGUGAUUUUUUUCAUGGGAAAAUUCAAGCCCACACAAAUGCCUAAGGCAAGUGUACAGUAGGGUUGCCUGCAAGCGUGGUAGUCUGAAUCCUCGAGGUGGACUGUUCUUUUCAUCCACUGCACCAGGACCCACACGCACCAGGACCCACAAGCACCAGAGGAGACAGACCCACACGGUCCAGGACCCACACGCUGCAGGACCCACACGUUCCAGGACCCACGCGCUCCAGGACCCACAUGCUCCAGGACCCACACACUCCAGGACCCACACGCUGCAGGACCCACACACUCCAGGACCUACACUUUCCAGGACCCACACACUGCAGGACCCACACACUGCAGGACCCACACGCUGCAGGACCCACAUGCUGCAGGACCCACACACUCCAGGACCUACACUUUCCAGGACCCACACGCUGCAGGACCCACCCACACGCUGCAGGACCCACACGCUCCAGGACAUACACUUUCCAGGACCCACACGCUGCAGGACCCACACGCUGCAGAGGAGACAGACUCACAACUCCAGAGGAGACAGACUCACAACUCCAGAGGAGACAGACUCACAGCUCCAGAGGAGACAGACUCACAACUCCAGAGGAGACAGACUCACAACUCCAGGGGAGACAGACUCACAACUCCAGAGGAGACAGACUCACAGCUCCAGAGGAGACAGACUCACAGCUCCAGAGGAGACAGACUCACAGCUCCAGAUCUGUAUCUUUUACAACACAAGUCUAUCUAGGGCUGAAGGAGCCAGCCUGGUUUGAGCUGAUCCUUAGGAUUCAAGGAUCCAGGAAGUUGAGAUCGAGAGGAAG
rnacentral:lncRNA from 8 species